rnacentral:rRNA from 1 species
UNCNCAUAANACUCCCCUGGGAGUACGCCGCAAGGUNAACNCAAAGGAUUGACGGGGGCCCGCNCAAGGGUGGNGCNUUGGUUNANUNGAAGCAACGCGAAGAACCUUCCANGUUUUGACAUCCCUCUGNCCACUCUANAGAUAGAGUUUUUUUCGGGACAGAGGUGACAGGUGGUGCAUGGUUGUCGUCAGCUCGUGUCGUGAGAUGUUGGGUUAAGUCCCGCAACGAGCGCAACCCCUAUUGUUAGUUGCCAUCAUUCAGUUGGGCACUCUAGCGAGACUGCCGGUAAUAAACCGGAGGAAGGUGGGGAUGACGUCAAAUCAUCAUGCCCCUUAUGACCUGGGCUACACACGUGCUACAAUGGCUGGUACAACGAGUCGCAAGCCGGUGACGGCAAGCUAAUCUCUUAAAGCCAGUCUCAGUUCGGAUUGUAGGCUGCAACUCGCCUACAUGAAGUCGGAAUCGCUUGUNNUCGCGGAUCAGCACGCCGCGGUGAAUACGUUCCCGGGCCUUGUACACACCGCCCGUCACACCACGAGAGUUUGUAACACCCGAAGUCGGUGAGGUAACCGUAAGGAG